rnacentral:rRNA from 1 species
UACGAAGGGGGCGAGCGUUGUUCGGAUUUACUGGGCGUAAAGGGCGCGCAGGCGGCUCAUUACGUCAGGCGUGAAAGCCCCGGGCUUAACCUGGGAACUGCGUUUGAUACGGAUGGGCUAGAGUUCGGGAGAGGAGAGUGGAAUUCCCAGUGUAGAGGUGAAAUUCGUAGAUAUUGGGAAGAACACCGGUGGCGAAGGCGGCUCUCUGGACCGAGACUGACGCUGAGGCGCGAAAGCGUGGGGAGCAAACAGG